UCUUGGAGACCUGACUCAGCCUCACUCCUGGCCUGGCCUCAAGUCUCCCACCUUCAGACAAAAGUUUCUUCCUGUCGUGAGGAUUAUUGCUGAGACCAUCGGAUUGUCAGGCAAAGGACCUGUGAGAGGACUGAGAAGGGCUACGUUAUCGCAGCGGGACAGAAUGAAGCCAGAGAGGGACGCGAAAAGUUUCUCUUCCUCUCCUUGAGUUAAAUACCAAAUGUUUGUAAAGGCUUAGCACACAUACUGUUGUCAUCUAAGAAAGGCUCACACUACAGUCUGGAUCUCUUAUUGCCUACAGAUUUUAGUUUAGACUCUUUAGGCUGGUCUUAGGCUUACAGGUUUCUGUCACCAAAUCCAAUCACGCCGGAGACAAACCCAGGGCUGUCCUCCUCCUGGACAAAGACUUCUUCCUCUUCUUCCUGUGGGUUAGGGAUUGAACCUGGGGCUUUACCCAUACUACACAAGUGUUCUACCACUAAGCUUCGGAGCUGCCUUCUUUUUUCUUUUCUUUUGGUUGGGGUAGGGAAGUUGUUUUUUGAAGCACAAUCUCACUUUAUAACCCAGGCUAGCCUUUCGCCUCUAGAUAUUCUCCUGCUUCAGCCUCCUAACUGCUGAUUAUAGCUGGGAGCCACUAUGCUGGCAAGAAGGGUUGUGUACAUGGAGCAUGGCACGCAAGGCGACACACCUGAAGCUGGAGAGGUGAAAUCAGGAAGAGGAGUCGGGUCAGGACUCGGGCUCAUGGUUCUCUAAUCCCUUCCUUGCUCUAACUGCGAGCUCCACCCUUGCUACUUCACCGGGCAUUCCAGCCACCUGUGAUCUCAGUGUACCUGCACCUUUGAAGUUUCUCUGACUGCUCUAGGUCACGUUAGCCUCCUACUUAAGCUGGCAACACAAUUCCAAUCACCUACACAUUUUAGCACUAGAUUAAGCGCUCUGUAAUUUGACAUCUCUAUCUUAUCUUGUUGGCCAGAUUACAAAUAACCUCAAAGUGAGGCUUCCAUCAGAUACUUCUCUUGUAUUUCUUCAUUCCUAGCACCGGGAAGAAAACAGACUCAUUUUCUUCCUGUUAAAUAAAUUGCCUUCAGCUUGUGAA